rnacentral:lncRNA from 1 species
UUCUUUCCCAAAGCAAAGAUCAGGUGCCUGCGUCAGACAAUGCAAGAGUGAGAUGACACAUCUCAGCAAGUAAAAAAACAAACAACAGUUGGACAAUGCAAGCCAACCGUGCAUAAGCAACCACAUGGUUCCCAACUUCUUCCUUAAAUAUUAAUUUGCAGCAAGUAAGCAAGUAAUCAAUUACUCAAUGCCAAGAUGAAUUACAAAGUAAAGAUCCACCUUAUCCACAUCACCAAAAUAGGUUCCACACUUCACCCAUGAAUGCACAUGGCUACAGAUGCAACAUGACUUCUGCCUUCAUACCUCUAAGGAUAUGAAGCUGCAUCAUACCCCUUCUCGGGAAACAUAUGAUGCUCAUUGUACCGGUACGGUCGGACCAUAAGAUCGCGACGAAAACUUCAAUGCAAUGGAUGAUGAAUGCAUUAUGCAUGUCAACAACAUGAGUUCUUCCCAAAUAAAAUGUGCUAGACAUAUACUUCCACCCAUUUCACAUCAAUAACCACAUGGGUAACAUGAUCAAACCACACCCUCCACAUAUAUAAUCAAUAAAGCAUGAAUAAUUUCAAACGAUGGUACUCAAUUAGGAAUAUGGAUACGACCACAAAUAGCACAAACAUAAUCAAGUAUGAGACUCUUCAAUCAAAAGACGAAAUAACCAUCACUGUUUUACUUGCCUUUACCGAAGUUCGGGCAAAAAUCCCUAAGAACGAUCCGGAAGUCCACCACCUGUUUUUGACACCCAACUUAGUGCACCAAAUUCUCAUGAAAAAAACUCAAAGACAACACCGCACCUACGCGCAAUCUCAAACCCCGCCGCGGUAACAAUUCUCCCCUCACUAACCAAACUGCAGCGGCGCUGCUUAACAAUUCCAUAACUCAAAAUUUAGGACAGCAGUGAUGAUAAACAAAAACUUCAGAGACAACUACAUAAAAUUCCCCACAAGUUUUGUAUACAACUCAUGAUUGAAUUUUAACAUCUACUUACCUCUAAACGGUCCUCAAAAUAAACCCUGCAAUCUGUUUUUUUUUCUGAUUUGAGCAGCGACAUACGCGGAUUCAAACAGCGAUAACUUUUAAAAUAUAAUUCCGAUUUGAGCGCAUAAGUACUUGUUGGAAAGAUAAGAAAAAGCCCUACAUGAUUCUCAUACUGAUUAACACUAAUUACUCCCGAAACAUCCCCAGAAACUGCUAACACUGCUGCUGUUCAUCACUCUGAAAAAUCUGUUUUCUCGACAGCCACAUACCCGGAUUCAAACGAUGAUAACUUUUAAUUUAUAACUCCAAAUUGAGCGCAUAAAUACUCGUUGGAAAGAUAAAACAAAGUUCUACAAGAUUCUCAUACUGAUUAACACUAAUUGCUCCCGAAAAAUCCCCAGAAACUGCUAACACUGCUGCUGUUCAUCACUCUGAAAAAUCUGUUUUUUGGACAGCCACAUACCCGGAUUCAAACGAUGAUAACUUUUAAAUUAUAACUCCAAAUUGAGCGCAUAAAUACUCGUUGGAAAGAUAAAACAAAGUUCUACAAGAUUCCCAAAUUGAUCCCCAUUAAAUCUUCACGAAAAAAACUAAAAACUGCUGGAACUACCGCUGUUCAUCCACCACGCAAAAUUCUGGACAGCCCCCCUCUAUCUAAUCGCAAACGCAACAUCUAAUCAAUUGAAUCGCAGCGCAAAUGAACAAGGGAUGAACACAAAAGAAAAAUCACCUUGGGUUCUCCCCUUUUUCUUCCUCCCUUCUUCCUUCCACCAAAACGAUUGGAGAUUCGCACCAAAAGACGAUGAUCCGAGCGGCACGGAGUAGCACCUAGGGAGGAGGGGAUUGGGGGGGGCGGCUAGGGUUUUGGUGGCUGCAACAAUGGAGGGAUGAGGAGGUGGGCAGGGGGGGCUGCGGCCAAGGGGAAAGGAGGAGUGGGGGGGGCGGCUGCACAUGGGGGGGGGGGUAGUUAGGAGGGUGGCGGCUAGGGUUUGGGAGGGCUAAUGGGCUGAAACACCAAUUGCGGCCCAACUAACCCACACGACAGCUCC